AAUACCUCCUAUCUGCCAUUUUUUGUGAAAAUGAGAUAUUGGUAGAUUCAUAAUCGGCGCGUACUAAUGCACCUAUCUGUAACUUCUCCUUUCGUUAAAUAAAGUUCGAAAUGGCUGAAAAGUUGUAUUUCAAUUUCUCCCACUGAAAUCUUAAUGAUUUUUGUCAUGCAAAAUCUCCUAAAUCAACAGUUUAUUAGGUGAUGUCAUAAGAGGAUUGUACCUCCGUUCAAGUGUAGUGUGUUUAACGUCGAAAACUGGUUCUCGUUGAUAGGAGGUAUUGCAUUAUACUGAAAGUACCUGGAUAAUUUUAAUAGGAGAAAAUAGCACAUCGAUUUUUUGUUGGAUCCCCAUUUAGAAGGCUGCCAAAGGUUUUCCGGACUCAAAAUAGUCAUGUUUUCAAGGCGCACUGAAAAAAUUCUGUCAUUGGCCCAAUCGCAAAUCGAUGUUGUCGACUCAAGCAAAACUGAAGAGAAAGAAUGUUUCGAUUUAGAAAAUGCAUCUUUCAUAUUUUUAGACGACAACGUGGUCGUAGAAAG